rnacentral:rRNA from 1 species
AAACCGUUGAAAGGGAAGCGAAUGGAGUUAGCAAUUCGCCCUGCCAGAUUCAGCUGCUCGUGCUUCGCGACGUGCGCGCUCUCGAUCCGCAUGGACGAGACGUGUGUGGGUGCGAUGUGCAAACGGCGCACUUCUGGCGAGCGAGCGUCAGCGUCGGUUGUCGACGGGGGACAAGGACACAGGGAAGGUGGAUCAGCCAACUUGGCCGAUUGUUAAGCCUUGUGAUCACAUAGCCCGACGGCGACCGUGGCUCUGCGACGCGUGCCUGGCUGGCGACUCGAACGGAUCGGUCCGGCAUGUCGACUGGGCGGACGAGACUUCUCUGUGCGCUCAAACUGCUGCCGGUCGAACGGACGAUGUUCGCACACUACGCGUCGAGGAUGCUGACGACCAUACGGCUCCAUCCGACCCGUCUUGAAACACGGACCAAGGAGUCUAACAUGUGCGCGAGUCUCCGGGUGAUCGAAACCCGUGGGCGCAAUGAAAGUAAAGAUCGUCCUAGACGAUUGAGGUGAGAAGCAAAUCCACGGAUUUGCAGCAUCAUCGACCGACCUAUUCUGCUCUCAGAAAGGUUUGAGUAAGAGCGUACCUGUUGGGACCCGAAAGAUGGUGAACUAUGCCUGAAUAGGGUGAAGCCAGCGG